GCCAGAGGCAGUAAUUGGGUAUUCAGCCCUUUCAUCUGCCCUUCCUAACCUGCACAUGCCACGGACAGCCUGAACUGCAAAUUGCAGCCAAGUGGAUGCAAUGUGCAACAGCUCCCAUUGUGAGAGACACGAAACUUCCCCAGAACCUCCCCAACAAACAAGGAAUUUCUCUGCCAGAACGUGACAUGAUCCUAAAGAUGUCUCUAUCUUUGCUGGGGGAAGAAAUGAAGCCGUUACUCCCAGCAGGGAAAAGAGGAAACAAGAAGAUAUUUAAAGGAUAUGGAGGGGGAUUUUGAGAACUGCUAAGGUUCUUAGGACAUACAUUUUCAGAACACAUAAUAUAAGCACAAGAGACUGCCAAUAGUAC
ensembl:lncRNA